UCUCUGUCCCCAAAUGGAGGGGAGAUGCUGCCCGUACCUACAAUGGUUGUAGCACCCACAUACGUACAAAGGUCGUAGCAGCCACAUCCAGCCCUGCCUGCAAGGGAGCGCAGCAGGAGCCGCACUUUGCCCCUUGAGCGGGACCCAGAGGCCCAAGAACCGACACCGGGAAAGUUGGAAGUUGAGUCAGAAGACAAAGAUGACAAGUUGUGCUUCCCCCUGUCUCCAGGAAGACCUUCAGCUACUUUGGGAAUGACCACACCACACGGACAGCCCUUGCCCCACGACCUCUCUGCAGAUCCGAGCGCUCGCCCAGCCAUAGGCUUGCCGGAGCCAGCUGCGGUGAGGCCGGACGUGCUGGUCGCAGGGCGAACUGCGGGUGGCUUGGUCGGCAACUUGAGACAUCCCAGCAUCCCUUCCCGCUCGCUCCUUUUCUCUGAUUAAUUGCAUUUUCUGUCCCUUUGUGGCACGGGUGCGCGCCGGCUGCGGAGGGGCGAGCAGGGAGCGUGCAGCUGUGGGCUCGGCAGCGGAGCAGCCAUCUGCAGCGCCCGCCCCAGGGAAAAAAGCCUCGCAGCUGCGUGCGCCUGGUACCGGCGGUACCCGGACGAGGUCAUUCAUCACCAGGAGCCCGGGCAAGGAAGCUUGGCAGGGAAAAGGAGGAUGGCAACCACAGGAGGCAAAUCUUAAAAAUACUCUGCGACAGCAGUUCACUGAAGAGGAGACUGGGUAUCAGGAACUGCAUGAGGAGCAGGGAGCGACCCCAAAACCCCACCUGCAGGUCCCUGGACACAGGUGACACCACCAGACCCAUCGGUGGAGAUGGCUUCGCUCAAGUAACACAGGAUGCGGUCACCUUCCCGGCAGAAAGAGCUUCCUCAGAGGACAAGGAGGAUGAGGAGGAUGAGGUCUGCGGCAUACCGGAUCCUGCACAGUCAUGGAGCAAAUCAUGACCCCCCUUCUUUGCGCUCAGCAGGCGAAGUCCCGCUGCGAAGACCCCGCGCCCAGCCAGCUGCUUUUCCCGUCUCUCCUCUGAACGCCAGAGACAAAGAAACAGGCUGGGAAGAGUCAAAGCCUUCGAUCUGGGAAUGGUUUCUUCCCUUCAGAUGUCUGUAUGAGCAGCAAACGGGCCUUGUGCUCCAAAACUGUGAAAGCCUUAAGUGAUUUCUGCUGCCACUGCACUAGCACGUGCCAUCUCUGCUCACCAGCACCUCUGCUGUGGCUCUCGCUGCUGCUGAGAAAGCAGGAUCAUCCCGUGGUCUUGCGAAUGGAUAGAAGACGUGUCCAAGGUCCAGACACUGUCAGUGCAGUGCUCUGUGGCAGACCACAGACAGCCCAGACCCCCAGGAACAUGGACCAGUUACUUCAUCUCUGCGUACUCCAGUUCCUCGGCUGCAGAAGAGGGAUUAUAACAGCGCUGACCCUUCCCAGACACCCGUGAGCCCAGGCACUGAAUUUCUGCACAUGGACGGGCUGCUCAGAGACAGAGGAGAUGGUAAUGCGGUCCGGGGCGAGGGAGGCAGAUGCAAACGAUGGUGAACUGAUCCAAACAAGCACUUUCUGCGAGGGCGCAGCAUAUCAGAAUUACUGGCAUGUCCAACCUGCUGGUGAGUGACUGGGUGCGCUCAGCAUCUGCAGGGCUCUUCUCAGAUGAGCUCAUCGCAGUUUCCAGGCAAAUACGUGGAAAACAUUUGCAGGGCACCUGCUCCCCCACCCUCACACCUGGAGACCUUCUGCCUUCGCCUCUUUGAAUGAUCAUCUGCGCUCAACUCAUCGCCUCUGGGACCUGGCCCUGUUCCUCCGGACCCGUUCAUCACGCCAUGCCAGAUGGGUCCCUCCUGCCUUUUAAGCAGACGAGAGCACCGUAUGAUUUCAUGGCCGCACCAGCACAAUGUGCACCUGCCUGGAAACUGCCCGAGCACCUGCCGGUGCCGGGCGCGCUGGCACACACUGCGUGUGUGGUGAGUGCUGGGGCAAGAUCAGAGAUGCAAAGGGAAACGUGCUCAUGCACAGCCCUGGGAUGGCAGUGAGCGAGGUCAUGUGGAGGAAGAAAACAGGAUGGCAGUAGCAUCACUGGAUUUCCAAGCCUGGAAAUAAUUUUGAAAAAAAAUUGAUUUUUUUUUUAAUCUGAACAUUUCAUCUAUUUUAUCAUGUCCACAUCAACUUUUACCAUGAGUGAAAACCCAGCUCUGUUUUGUGUUUAUUUUGUGGCUUUAUGAAGACAUAAAUCUGUGGAUCUUGGUUGCUGCAUGUCCUUAUGGGACUCCUAGGGAUAUCAGUGUGCUCCAGUGACAACGGCUAUUUGCUCUCCAGCUCUGGUGCUUUACAGCCCACCAGAACAAAUCCCACUUGCCUACCCUCCAGUCCAAAGUCCCUGAGUUCAGAGAAGCGAGGACACACCAGAUGGUCUGGCAUGGCCCAGUGAUGGGACCGAGCUGGGGAGAGCGGGGCGAAGGCUGGAUAAAGCUCAUGGAGAUGGCUCACGUCCCACCUUGAACUUGUUGGGCUUUUCUUAUUGCUGACAUCUGUGGUAGGGCAAGAGGUGUGGGAGCAUCUACCUGUCUGUGGGCUGCAGAGUGGAGGUGACCUUUCCACGGGCCAGCGCCAAGCAGCUUGGAGAGAGCACGACUGCGUGACUGCUGAAAUGGCCUGGCAGGAGGUCUUUAAAUUGCUCGAUGUCUCUGUACUGAAAAGCAAUACCUGCUGAGAUUAAACCGUUUGGCCUCCUUCCCCGUCUCCAAGGCAAACAUAGACAGUUCUAUUCAUACCCACAAGAAAUACAUAUUUCAGCAUUUGAUUCUUUUUGUGUGUGCUUUGUUUUAUCUAGCGCCAUGGAGCUUGGAUGUCUUUUUCAUCUCAUAUUGUGCUUUGGAUGCAGCCUCUUUUAUUCAGCCCUCUUGCUGCCUUCAUAAAGAAUAACAGCGGCAGUUGUUGUUUUUUCCCCUGGAGCAUGGGCUGCUGUAAACCAAAGGGAAACUUCUCGCUAAAAGAGAGAGAGGGCAGGCGGGAUGCUGCCGUAUCCAUUUCCACACCAGAGCUGCCGCCCUGCAGGCCAUGCAGUUUGGCUUUCUCGAGCCUUCAUGGAGAGCAACAAAUUGUCCUAUAAAAAUUCUUUUCUUGAAUUUUAUUUUUCUAAGGAGACAGGCCCAACUUGUAAACUUGGGAUUAAAUGUCCUACUUCUUAAAUGGACAGCAAAGUCCAAGAUAGACGCCGUGGCACUGAAAUCUAACAGGGUCUUCAGAUUCUCUCUCUCUUCCUCCCUAAAUUUGCACCUGAAGCCUCCUUUUCCUGCCUGUGGAAAGCCCAUUUUGUGGGCUUUUUUGUGGGCUUAGCUAAGCCCCCAUCUCAUGCAACCUCUCAGCAACUGUCAUAAAGGAGAAAACCUUGCAAGGACAUUGCUGCUUAUCUUCCAGUUGAGGAGGGACAAGAGCUAGCCCAAGUGCCAGACUUGAAGGAUGUCGUCCAGUCUCACCUCCAUCUUCCCGUGAAGGUAAUUUGGGGUGAAGAUGGGAACUGCUGCCUCCAGCCUCUUCCUCUCCACAUUCAGCUUGGAAGUCAUGCUGUAUGUGUACCAAAGAGCCAAAGGUGCCUGACCCCUGUCCCGAGGUAUCAUCAGUCUUGCUGUCGGUGGCUGUGCUGCUCACAUCUGUGCUUUCCCCCUGCUUAUGCCAUUAGCUCCACGGCAUGGCCCAGGAACAAGUGCAGCCGGGGUUUCAGCUCCGCAGGUCACCAGCUGCUGAUAAAUUGCUUUCCUGGAGAUCAAUCGCUUCCUGUUUGCCAUGUGAAACGCCCGGGCUGCCUGCACGGAAUGGCUGUGCCGGACGCUGGGGAGAGGUCCCCAUCCGUGGUCAUGCUUGAGACACUCUGAAUAACAAAACCUUUAGGCACUGGUUCCAAAUCAUCCAGCUUGGAUUACAUCCCAAACAGAGUGCUACAAAUCACACCUAUUGUCAUGGUGGUUUCCAUGUGAUGCUGGAAGCAAGAACAUCUUGUGACAAUAUGUUGCCCUUGAACCUUGAGUUGGGAAUCACAGAUUUUAAGGCAUUUGAAAUCUGCGUCUGAAAUUUGUGCCUCGUGUCACGCUCCGACCUGAGAGAAGGGAUGCUUCGAACUGGGGUGGCUGUGUGAGUUAACCAGAGCAGCUCUCCUGGAACCCACGGUGUCUGGGAGGCAGUGCCCAACGAUACCCUUCCCAGCUCUACGAUCUUCUCCUUCACGCCCAGCUGCAAAGGGCCAGCUGAGGGACGGCCGGUACCAUCCCUGCUAACAGAAACGCAAAUCCCACCCUCCAGCACCCGGGGCGGAGGAGGCAGGAUGGGCAGGGUUGGGAACAGCAUCUCUUCGGCCACAUGCGUCUCUUCAGCUGCGCAGACCACCGAAGACAAAUGAACUGGAGGAAGCAUUUCCUCUGCCGAAGGCUCACACCCUGGAGGUUUCUGUUCACAGCGUAGGUCAAGAGUUGAAAAAUGAAGAAGAAAGGAAAACAGAUAGAAAGAUCCAUCUUCCCUUAUAAAAUCCCCAAAGCAGGGGGCAUUUGGAAGUCAUUUUUUACUGAGCUGAGAGCUGUUCCUGGCCCUUUUAGCAGACAUUAUUUUCUUCUCAAACCUCAUAGUUUGGGACAUGGGGAAGCAUUUUCCCUCCAUCCUCGCAGGUGUUGGAAGAGGAGCAUUAUCCUGGGUGCAAGACACCCGGCACCUUCCUCCGAGGCUGGGGUCCACAGUGAUUUGGGCUUCGGGGCAAAAUGGAGCCCAAUGCAUGCUGAAAAUUGUUCUGUUCCUCCUCCUAAUGUAUUUUAUAUAUAAGGGCUGAGAUGCAAAAAGAAAUGAGUGGCUUGGAUUUGCUGGCAUUCAUGCACAGGUUAAGGGGGACAGCUUUUAAGGGGGAAAACCCAUGCAGCAAGAGGAAAGAGAAUUUCAGCAUGGUUAAAGGAAAUCUAAAUAAAAUUCCUUUCUGGAAGGAAUUCAAGAAAAUUA